GAUGAACGCUGGCGGCGUGCCUAACACAUGCAAGUCGAACGAACAGACCAUGAUCUUGCUCCUCUGACGUUAGCGGCGGACGGGUGAGUAACACGUGGAUCAUCUCCCUAUCUGACUGGUAUAACUUCGGGAAACCGGAGCUAAUCCCAGAUAAUAUCUUGCACCGCAUGGUUCAAUAGUGAGAGUCGGUUUUUCUGUCACUUAUAGAUGCAUCCCCGCCGCAUUAGCUAGUUGGUGCGGUAACGGCUUACCACGGCGACGAUGCGUGGCCGACCUGAGAGAGGGAUCGCCCACACGGGAAGUGAGACACGGUCCAGACUCCUAAGGGAGGCACCAGAAGGCAAUCGUCCGCAAUGGGCGAAAGUCUGACGGAGCAAGGCCGCGUGAGAGAUGAAGGUCUUCGGAUCGUAAAACUGUGUUAUUAGGGAAGAACCAAUGUGUAAGUAAAUAUGCACGUAUUGACGGUACCUAAUCAGAAAGCCACGGCUAACUACGUG
rnacentral:rRNA from 1 species